rnacentral:rRNA from 1 species
AGAGUUUGAUUAUGGCUCAGGAUGAACGCUGGCGGCAUGCCUAAUACAUGCAAGUCGAACGGACUACACCUUGAACCUGAAGUGCUUGCACAGAAGGGAAUUGGAUUAUGUAGUCAGUGGCGGACGGGUGAGUAACACGUGGGUUACCUGCCACACAGUAUGGAAUAACUAUUGGAAACGAUAGCUAAUACCGUAUAUGACCUUCGGGUUGAAAGGAGCGUUUGCUUCGCUGUGUGAUGGGCCUGCGGUGCAUUAGCUAGUUGGCAAGGUAAAGGCUUACCAAGGCGACGAUGCAUAGCCGGACUGAGAGGUCGAUCGGCCACAUUGGGACUGAGACACGGCCCAAACUUCUACGGAAGGCAGCAGUAGGGAAUUUUCCGCAAUGGACGAAAGUCUGACGGAGCAAUGCCGCGUGAGUGAUGAAGGUUUUCGAAUCGUAAAGCUCUGUUGUAAGGGAAGAAUAGCAAGUGUAGGAAAUGACAUUUGUCUGACGGUACCUUACCAGAAAGCCACGGCUAACUACGUGCCAGCAGCCGCGGUAAU